CCUACGGGAGGCAGCAGUGGGGAAUAUUGCACAAUGGGGGGAACCCUGAUGCAGCAACGCCGCGUGGGUGAAGAAGUACUUCGGUAUGUAAAGCCCUGUCAGCAGGGAAGAAAAUGACGGUACCUGACCAAGAAGCCCCGGCUAACUACGUGCCAGCAGCCGCGGUAAUACGUAGGGGGCAAGCGUUAUCCGGAUUUUCUGGGUGUAAAGGGAGCGUAGACGGCAAGGCAAGUAGGGAGUGAAAGCCCGUGGCUCAACCACGGGACUGCUUUGGAAACUGUGUUGCGGGAGUGCAGGAGGGGUAAGCGGAAUUCCUAGUGUAGCGGUGAAAUGCGUAGAUAUUAGGAGGAACACCGGUGGCGAAGGCGGCUUACUGGACUGUAACUGACGUUGAGGCUCGAAGGCGUGGGGAGCAAACAGGAUUAGAUACCCGGGUAGUC
rnacentral:rRNA from 1 species